AAAACAACAGGAUCGCAUCCAGGUUACAGUAUUGAAAUUAGAACCACUAACUAUUACACAGCAUCUCUUACCAAAUCAGAUCAUCUUCGAUAAGAAGAAUCACUGCCAAUUUGUUCCAGCUAUGAAUUACAUCUGAAUCUCAAUAGGUCAACUCUAGCUAGCACCAACUUUAUAAAUCUUCCUAAAUACUCCUUGACCACUGAAUCCUCAACUCUGACUCCUCGCCUAGCCUUAGCCUUACUCGCAAUCAUAGUCUAGCCAUUCAUCUUUAAUCCUUUCUGAAAUGGUUAAAAGAGAAU
rnacentral:lncRNA from 1 species